rnacentral:rRNA from 1 species
AGAGUUUGAUCCUGGCUCAGAUUGAACGCUGGCGGCAUGCUUUACACAUGCAAGUCGAACGGCAGCACGAAAGAGCUUGCUCUUUUGGUGGCGAGUGGCGAACGGGUGAGUAAUGCAUCGGAACGUACCGAGUAAUGGGGGAUAACUAUCCGAAAGGAUAGCUAAUACCGCAUACGCUUUGAGAAGGAAAGUGGGGGCUCUUCGGACCUCACGUUAUUCGAGCGGCCGAUGUCUGAUUAGCUAGUUGGUGGGGUAAAGGCCUACCAAGGCGACGAUCAGUAGCGGGUCUGAGAGGAUGAUCCGCCACACUGGGACUGAGACACGGCCCAGACUCCUACGGGAGGCAGCAGUGGGGAAUUUUGGACAAUGGGCGCAAGCCUGAUCCAGCCAUGCCGCGUGUCUGAAGAAGGCCUUCGGGUUGUAAAGGACUUUUGUCAGGGAAGAAAAGGACAGGGUUAAUACCCCUGUCUGAUGACGGUACCUGAAGAAUAAGCACCGGCUAACUACGUGCCAGCAGCCGCGGUAAUACGUAGGGUGCGAGCGUUAAUCGGAAUUACUGGGCGUAAAGCGAGCGCAGACGGUUACUUAAGCAGGAUGUGAAAUCCCCGGGCUCAACCUGGGAACUGCGUUCUGAACUGGGUGACUAGAGUGUGUCAGAGGGAGGUAGAAUUCCACGUGUAGCAGUGAAAUGCGUAGAGAUGUGGAGGAAUACCGAUGGCGAAGGCAGCCUCCUGGGAUAACACUGACGUUCAUGCUCGAAAGCGUGGGUAGCAAACAGGAUUAGAUACCCUGGUAGUCCACGCCCUAAACGAUGUCAAUUAGCUGUUGGGCAACUUGAUUGCUUAGUAGCGUAGCUAACGCGUGAAAUUGACCGCCUGGGGAGUACGGUCGCAAGAUUAAAACUCAAAGGAAUUGACGGGGACC